UUGCUCACUUCCAAAGCACAUAUGCUGAAACUGGAAUGAUACAGAGAAGAUCAGCAUGGCCCUGUGUAAGAAUAACACUCAAAUUUGUGACACACACCAUAAUUUU
ensembl:snRNA U6 U6 spliceosomal RNA